CUGAUCUGACAGGAGGUGGUGUUCAGAUGGUAAUGCUUGCUGGUCCACCGCUCACCUCCUGCUGUGUGACCCUGUUCCUAACAGGCCAUGCACCACCAUGGAACGACCUCAAACAUGUUUUAUCUGGGAGUCUUCCUCUUUCAUGACAUUCACAGAAGGCCUAUGGUGUGCCAGGCCCCGUGGACAGCACUGUGGACACAGAUGCAUAAUAACAGUUCCUACCCUCCAGAUAGAGAGGCAAGAAAGGGCUGUGGAAGCAAACCCAAGGUACUAAGGAAGCCGGGAAGAGAACCUACUCUAGACUUGGAAGUUGAAGGGGUCAAGAAACAUUCCUAGAGAAGAUACCUGAGUCUUGAAAACUGAGAAGGAAUUAGUAACCCAACAGAGGUGGGAACUUUCUGAGGACGGAGAUGGAGAGGAAGAUGCUGCCAGCUGAGGGACCACCAUUCUGAAAGCUAGGAGAAAGUGCGCGAUGGAAAGUGGGCCUGAGGGAAAGGCUGUAAGCACCUCACUAUUAAUCACAAUUCUCCCUAUAGGAAAAUAAAUGCUGUUUCUACUUCAGCAAGUUUUUUUCCUUUUGUUUACAUUUUUUCUCAUUAUGAAGUGAUCAUCCUUUAAUUUGGAUGUGAACACUACGUCUAUUUGCAGGACAGACUCACUGUUCUAUAGAGCUCAAGAUUAUUACCAGACUCCAAAAAUGGCUGAAAGUCUAAAAACAAAGUCAAAGUAGAAAUUGCUCAACUUUUCCACACACACACGAGAAACAGGGGAUGCUGAGGUGUGAAGCUGUUUUUAAAAAAUGAGGGAACCAAGGACUCAUUUGCUCUCUUGGUUUUCUUUUUUGUUCUAAAGAAAGCAUCUUGCACCAUGCUCCUUAAAGGAGUCCAGUGAUUUCAAGCCGGCAAAUCAAUCUUUCCCUUGGCUUCUGGUGCAAAAGGCUCCUCAAACUGUGUUUUGGCUCACUGAAUCAACAUACUACACAGCCCUUCCCUUUUCUCUUAGCUUAGAAAAUGAACCCAGUAUUGUAUUUAAGCAUUUGGCUGUGAGUGCAAAGAAUGAAUUGAGGACAAGGGUGGAGUGGGUUAAGAGUCCUUAAGGGUGUCCUUGGUAGAAGAUGCACUAUGAACCUGAGGUCUGUUUGGU
rnacentral:lncRNA from 1 species